CCCUAAGGGUGUGUUCACACUUGUCAUGUUUGGUUUGAUUAAAACGAGCCCUGGUGCGAUUGCUGUGUUAGUGCGGUUUGUUCGAGAAAGUGUGAA